rnacentral:misc_RNA from 1 species
AAGACUAUAGACCUGCGGAGUACCUGCGGAGGGAUCAUUAUUGAAUAAACUUGGAACAAGUUGUUGCUGGCUUCAAAAAAAAAAGAAAGCAUGUGCACGCUUGCUCCAUUUUUUUUUUCAAAAACCUCUUGUGCAUCUGUGUAAAUCUGAACCACUUCGAGACAAAGUGAACCCACUUUACUCGGUCUUGAGAAUUGUCAUGCCACAAGGCGAGGCUUUUCUUGUUUUCAGAUUUAUGUA